rnacentral:rRNA from 1 species
AGAGUUUGAUCAUGGCUCAGAUUGAACGCUGGCGGCAGGCCUAACACAUGCAAGUCGAGCGAGAAAGCCCUUCGGGGUGAGUAGAGCGGCGGACGGGUGAGUAACGCGUAGGAAUCUACCCAGUGGUGGGGGACAACAUGUGGAAACGCAUGCUAAUACCGCAUACGCCCUACGGGGGAAAGCGGGGGACCUUCGGGCCUCGCGCCAUUGGAUGAGCCUGCGUAAGAUUAGCUAGUUGGUGGGGUAAGAGCCUACCAAGGCGACGAUCUUUAGCUGGUCUGAGAGGAUGAUCAGCCACACUGGGACUGAGACACGGCCCAGACUCCUACGGGAGGCAGCAGUGGGGAAUAUUGGACAAUGGGGGCAACCCUGAUCCAGCCAUGCCGCGUGUGUGAAGAAGGCCUUAGGGUUGUAAAGCACUUUCAAUUGGGAAGAAAAGCUGAUGCUUAAUACGUAUCAGCCCUGACAUUACCUUUAGAAGAAGCACCGGCUAACUCCGUGCCAGCAGCCGCGGUAAUACGGAGGGUGCGAGCGUUAAUCGGAAUUACUGGGCGUAAAGCGCGCGUAGGCGGUUUGUUAAGUCGGAUGUGAAAGCCCCGGGCUCACCUGGGAACUGCAUCCGAUACUGGCCGACUAGAGUACGAGAGAGGGAGGUAGAAUUCCACGUGUA